CCCUUAGAUGUUCUGGGCUGCACGCGCGCUACACUGGUGCGUUCAGCGAGUUUAGCACCUUAACAGAUAUGUUUGGGUAAUCUUCUGAAAACGCACCGUGAUGGGGAUCGAUUAUUGUAAUUAUUAAUCGUCAACGAGGAAUUCCUAGUAAGUGUGAAUCAUCAGUUCGCGCUGAUUACGUCCCUGCCCUUUGUACACACCGCCCGUCGCUCCUACCGAUUGGGUGUGCUGGUGAAAUGUUCGGAUCGGCCGUUUGUCGCGGUUUCCGCGUCAUGUGGCUGAGAAGUUCAUUAAACCCUCCCACCUAGAGGAAGGAGAAGUCGUAACA
rnacentral:rRNA from 1 species